CGACUGCUCAUCGCCGACAGCCGAAACGCGAAUGAAUUUCCCCUUUCGACCUUUCGGGUUUCUCAGGUUUACCCCUGAACGGUUUCACGUACUCUUGAACUCUCUCUUCAAAGUGCUUUUCAACUUUCCCUCACGGUACUUGUUCGCUAUCGGUCUCGUGGUCAUAUUUAGCCUUAGAUGGAGUUUACCACCCACUUAGGGCUGCACUCUCAAGCAACCCGACUCUGAGGAGAGACCCUCCCGCGAUCGGCAGCGGCCACUACGGGCCUGGCACCCUCUAUGGGCUGUGGCCCCGUUCAAGAAGGACUUGGACUCGCCGCACGACCUCGGGAUGAACGGAUCCUCCCUAACACCACAUUUCCCGGCGCCCGGUAUCG
rnacentral:rRNA from 1 species